rnacentral:rRNA from 1 species
AUUGAACGCUGGCGGCAGGCCUAACACAUGCAAGUCGAGCGGAUAAAGGGAGCUUGCUCCUGGAUUCAGCGGCGGACGGGUGAGUAAUGCCUAGGAAUCUGCCUGGUAGUGGGGGAUAACGUCCGGAAACGGGCGCUAAUACCGCAUACGUCCUGAGGGAGAAAGUGGGGGAUCUUCGGACCUCACGCUAUCAGAUGAGCCUAGGUCGGAUUAGCUAGUUGGUGGGGUAAAGGCCUACCAAGGCGACGAUCCGUAACUGGUCUGAGAGGAUGAUCAGUCAUACUGGAACUGAGACACGGUCCAGACUCCUACGGGAGGCAGCAGUGGGGAAUAUUGGACAAUGGGCGAAAGCCUGAUCCAGCCAUGCCGCGUGUGUGAAGAAGGUCUUCGGAUUGUAGAGCACUUUAAGUUGGGAGGAAGGGCAGUAAGUUAAUACCUUGCUGUUUUGACGGUACCAACAGAAUAAGCACCGGCUAACUUCGUG